UACGUAGGGUGCAAGCGUUAAUCGGAAUUACUGGGCGUAAAGCGUGCGCAGGCGGUUUUGUAAGCCAGAUGUGAAAAUCCCCGGGCUCAACCUGGGAAUGGCAUUUGGGGACUGCAAGGCUUUGAGUGCGGCAGAGGAGACUGGAAAUUCCUGGUGUAGCAGUGAAAUGCGUAGAUAUCAGGAGGAACACCAAUUGCGAAGGCAGCUCGCUGGGACGUAACUGACGCUGAGGCACGAAAGCGUGGGGAGUCAAACAGGA
rnacentral:rRNA from 1 species